GGUUCGGGCGGUGCUCGGGGCGCUCCCGGGUUUGUCGUGCCCGGUUCGGGCGGUGUUCGGGGCGCUCCCGGGUUU